GUCAUUGUUUUGUUAUUUUCUUGCUAUAAAGAAUAGUGGAUACUCAGAUAACUUGGUUUUUUUUAUCUACAAAACUAUUCAAAAUAUUGUCAACUCUAAGAAAAAUAUAUUGACUAUAUUCGAUAUUCCAAAAAAAAAACAAGUGUUAUCGAAGCCUUUGUUCAUAGAUGUAAUACCCAUAAAUGAAGCUCAACCCUGACUUCAAAGGUUCUAUGUGCGGUGUAAUGGCUUUCACACUUAUCUGAUAAUGACAUGAACCCGUUGGUCAUUGAAAAGCAGAUUGACAAUCAAGACAAUAGAAAACUGACAAUUAAAAGCUACUUAGCAAUUAAACAUGCUAAAAUAAGAAAGAAACAAAAUCAAAAUAUAUAUUUUAUAUUGACUUGAUUAUAAAAAAU
rnacentral:lncRNA from 1 species